rnacentral:lncRNA from 1 species
AACAUUUUCUCCGUAAAGAUGGAUAUCAAUUAUAUGAUCAAUUAGGUUAAUGAAUGAAUUAGUAGAAUGUGAGAAAUGAAAGAAGGUAAUUAAGCUAUGAAUUAAAAGAAUGUGUGAUAACUGAUAAAUGAAAGAAGGUAGAUAUUUAUUGAAUAAUUAUAUGAUCAAUUAGGUUAAUGAAUGAAUUAGUAGAAUGUGAGAAAUGAAAGAAGGUAAUUAAGCUAUGAAUUAAAAGAAUGUGUGAUAAAUGAAAGAAGGUAGGUAUUUAUAUAUAAUAAUAAAGUGAUGCAUGGGGGCAAGUAGUUUUAAACAAGGUCCUUGGAGAAAGUAGUACGUAUAAUUGGUGUGGUAGCGUGUAAUAGGGUCCAUUUUGACCAUAACUUAACUUUGUUGAUUUCUUCUUCUAGGUUAUACGUGAUGAUGGGGGCCACCUUACAUGAAACCACUGGGCUACAACACUUUGUUCUGUUAAGGGUGUCCAAAAUAUGUUAUUUAAUCAUUUUGUGUAUCAUUUUAUUUGUAUAUAUGAUAUUUUUUUUCCUACGAAGGGUGUCCAAUUGGACACGUUGACAACCAUGUAGCCAGAGGCGAAUCUAGGAUUUUUCAAAUAUGGGUGCAUCCAAAAAAAUGUAUUAAGUGGGAAUUGAUCCGAACAUGGAUGCAUCAAGAAAAAUGAAUUAAGUGAGAAUUGAUUCUUCAUCCUCAAGGUAAAAAACUCAACAUUUAACCAUGAGGACCAGAUAGACUUCUUAUAGCACGGGUGCAGGAAUAUAAUAAUAUACAAAUUUUAGAAAAUAUAUACAUAAAAUAUCUAGUUUUACGAAGAGACCACGGGUUCCGGUGACCUAUUUUUUAGGUUUAGAUUCGCCACUACAUGUAGCUACGCCACUGCUUGAGGUGAGUGCAUGAAUACCUCAACCACUAAGUCAACCUCUAAUUUUACAUUUAGGGGGUUUAAAAUCAAUAUAUAGACAUAAAAAUUCUUUAAAAUACCUUAUAUACAAUGUGAUUUUUUGCCGAAUAGGUUCGGGUGAACCCAGAGGCAGAUUUAUGAUUUGAAGACUUCGGGUGCACCAAUAUUAUUUUAGCUCAAAUAUAAGCUCUAAGAUAAACUUAAAAAAUAAAAAUAAUAAAAUAGCAUUGUAGCUAGAUUCAAAC